GGGAUCAUCCGAACACGGAGUAAAGCUUGCCGUGAGAAGUCAGCAGAGGCCAUAGUACCAGAAUUUUUUUUCUGGGAAG
rnacentral:ncRNA from 1 species